GUCAUGCUGAGCUUGCCGAAGCAUCUCUCCCGCUUCGUUGUGAUGCUACUCAGGCGAAGCGGGAGAGAUGCUUCGGCAAGCUCAGCAUGAU
rnacentral:misc_RNA from 1 species